CAGCCGCCGCGGUAAUACGUAGGUGGCAAGCGUUGUCCGGAAUUAUUGGGCGUAAAGGGCUCGCAGGCGGUUUCUUAAGUCUGAUGUGAAAGCCCCCGGCUCAACCGGGGAGGGUCAUAGGAAACUGGGAAACUUGAGUGCAGAAGAGGAGAGUGGAAUUCCACGUGUAGCGGUGAAAUGCGUAGAGAUGUGGAGGAACACCAGUGGCGAAGGCGACUCUCUGGUCUGUAACUGACGCUGAGGAGCGAAAGCGUGGGGAGCGAACAGGAUUAGAUACCCGCGUAGUCCCUGUCUCUUAUAC
rnacentral:rRNA from 1 species